GGGUCUAUAGUUUAGUGGUAAAAUUUCGGUCUCCAAAACCGAAGUCCGAGGUUCGAGUCCUCGUAGACCCG
rnacentral:tRNA from 2 species